CCUACGGGGGGCAGCAGUGGGGAAUAUUGGACAAUGGGGGGAACCCUGAUCCAGCGACGCCGCGUGAGUGAAGAAGUAUUUCGGUAUGUAAAGCUCUGUCAGCAGGGAAGAAAGCAAUGACGGUACCUGACCAAGAAGCCCCGGCUAACUACGUGCCAGCAGCCGCGGUAAUACGUAGGGGGCAAGCGUUAUCCGGAAUUACUGGGGGUAAAGGGAGCGUAGACGGCUUGGCAAGUCUGGAGUGAAAGGCGGGGGCCCAACCCCCGGACUGCUCUGGAAACUGUAUGGCUGGAGUGCAGGGGAGGUAGGCGGAAUUCCUAGUGUAGCGGUGAAAGGCGUAGAUAUUAGGAGGAACACGAGUGGCGAAGGCGGCUUACUGGACUGUAACUGACGUGGAGGCUCGAAAGCGUGGGGAGCAAACAGGAUUAGAUACCCGAGUAGUC
rnacentral:rRNA from 1 species